rnacentral:rRNA from 1 species
UACGAAGGGGGCUAGCGUUGCUCAGAAUCACUGGGCGUAAAGCGCACGUAGGCGGCUUUUUAAGUCAGGGGUGAAAUCCUGGAGCUCAACUCCAGAACUGCCUUUGAUACUGAAAAGCUUGAGUCCGGGAGAGGUGAGUGGAACUGCGAGUGUAGAGGUGAAAUUCGUAGAUAUUCGCAAGAACACCAGUGGCGAAGGCGGCUCACUGGCCCGGUACUGACGCUGAGGUGCGAAAGCGUGGGGAGCAAACAGG